CUUUGAAUGGGGACAACUGUUUGCUGAAGUGUGAUGUGUGAAGAGGUAGGAGGAAAUGAGCUUGAGCAUCUCAGAAGCUUCAAUUCAGAUGAUGAUUUCUCACAUGUGCAAGAGAGAGAAGGAGAAAGAAAAAGGCAUGAUGAAGAAAUCUGUCGUCGAUUGCAUCAAGUCAUCCUGGGAAAAACAAGAUGACUGCAUAUGUUCACUGGGACAAGAAAAUCAUAAAGCACCAGCACACUUUUUUGAAUUGGCACAUUCUCACUGCACCUGGGUAGUUUAACUGGAAGGAAUUGCAGAGAGCACAGGCUUCGGACGCGCAGGCUCAGUGGACAUGGCUCACGGGCCCAGCCGCUCCACGACACGUGGGAUCUUCCCGGACCGGGGCACGAACCCGCGUCCCCUGCAUCGGCAGGUGGACUCUCAACCACUGCGCCACAAGGGAAGCCCUAUCUCUAGAUUUAAAAGCUGAAAUGUGAAGGUAAAAGCAAGUUAAACUGGACAAGGAAAAUAUUUAACAGGAAAUUCAAGUAAAUACCAAUGAACUUUACUUAUAUUUGGCGUUUUCACUAUUAAAAUAAUGAUAAAUAGCACUGAUAAAAGAAAAACAAAUUCAAACAAUAAGUUACUCCUUUGGUUGUCUACAAAGUAUGUCACAUCUAUGAAAACCUAAUUGUUAAGUAGGACUUUAGCUGUUGAUCGAUACAUGAAAAUAAACACUGGAACAAAUGUGUGUAUCAAAUGAAAAUUAGGCAGUGGCCCUUGACACAAUCUGCUGCUCUUUCCUGGUACCUUGUAUUCCUUCUUAGGGGAAUGUAUGCUGACCAAUUUAGAGGAGGUAAAAUAAAAAGUGUUUUAUGAAAGGAAAAAAGGAAGAAUGGAUGGAAACAUAGAGAGAAGGAAGGAAGGAAGGAAGGAAGGAAAGAAGGAAGGAAGGAAGAAAAGAAAGCAAGCAGGCGGGCACACAGUACAAUCUAAAUGAGAACUAAAGCUUUGGGAUUUUUUGCCCUUUAUCACUUGUUUUGAAGAUGUGGAGAUAGAGCAUCUCAGUGAUUUCUGAACAAGACCCUUAUACCCUUUUAUCCUAAUGA